rnacentral:rRNA from 1 species
UACGUAGGGGGCAAGCGUUGUCCGGAAUCAUUGGGCGUAAAGGGCGUGUAGGCGGUCAGGUAAGUGGGACGUGAAAUGCCUCGGCUCACCCGAGGAGCGGCGUCCCAUACUGCUUGGCUUGAGUACGGGAGAGGAUGUGGGAAUUCCUGGUGUAGCGGUGAAAUGCGUAGAUAUCAGGAGGAACACCGGUGGCGAAGGCGCACAUCUGGCCCGAUACUGACGCUGAGGCGCGAAAGCUAGGGGAGCAAACGGG